AUCGCUUAUCUGAACGAGCAUUUACCUCUAGUUAUCUUCUCAUACUCAUACGUUCAUCCGGUUUUUUAAAAUCUGUUAUUACUUUAUUAUUGCUUUUGUAAUUCCUUGGGCAUCGACACCCUCUAACCAACAAAGAAACUGCAUUUUUCACAUUACCCUCUUAUAAAUUUUUUCUCAGUUGUACAUUUAGUUGAUUAUAGAGAACAUCUUGCCAUUCAUACGAAUGCAUUUGUCUGAUCUGAUCUGAUCGUGUCAACAUGCUAAUCCCUUCUUGCCACUGGCCGAAGCCUUUUUGUCAAAUUUUUAUCUUUCCAUUUAAACGUAUCUCACAAACAAGCCAUUUGGCACGUGUCACGUAAUAGGUAACAGAAAUGGCAUGGUCCCCUUUGGGUGUUGAGCCUGGCCUACACCCUCCGUGGAGCAUAAAUUUUGGACUUGGUUUGUCACCAUUGGCUGAUUUGAAAAAACAGGGAUUGGACCAACCAUUUUAUUCCCACACUUAUCAUUGGAAUUCUGGCAUGGUAGCUGUUGCAGGACACUCUCCUUGGUUAGUUAGUGAGGUUCCAGAAAGCAGCAUUCCAAGAGCAAGAAUCAAAUUUUCCGGCUGUCAACCCAAUAUAGAUCAUUUAACUUUGUUUUCUUGCAUUGAUGGUGAAAUUGAAUUAUAUUGAAAUUUAAAAGUUUUUUAAGCUAUUUACCUACUUAUGAGUUGCUGAAAUGUGUUAACAGAGCAAAAUGCAAAACUUGAAUUGAAUUCGACAAAACUAAUUUGAGUUUGCAGGGGCAGAAAUUUAAAGUUGGUGGCAGGAUAAUGGCUAUCAAUUGUUGAGAAUUUGAAUUGCAAAUUUUAAUUUUGUUAUGUAUAAGUAUAUAAGUACUUGUAGCCUAUAGAUUACUAAAUGAUGAUUUAAGUUGGCAUAUCUUGAAAAUGGUUUUCUUUUUCAAUAUUUAAAUUCAAUACAUAAAGACAUAAAUGGAA
rnacentral:lncRNA from 1 species